AGUGAACGCUGGCGGUAGGCCUAACACAUGCGAGUCGAACGGCAGCACAGUAAGAGCUUGCUCUUACGGGUGGCGGGUGGCGGACGGGUGAGGAAUACAUCGGAAUCUACUUUUUCGUGGGGGAUAACGUAGGGAAACUUACGCUAAUACCGCAUACGACCUACGGGUGAAAGCAGGGGAUCUUCGGACCUUGCGCGAUUGAAUGAGCCGAUGUCGGAUUAGCUAGUUGGCGGGGUAAAGGCCCACCAAGGCGACGAUCCGUAGCUGGUCUGAGAGGAUGAUCAGCCACACUGGAACUGAGACACGGUCCAGACUCCUACGGGAGGCAGCAGUGGGGAAUAUUGGACAAUGGGCGCAAGCCUGAUCCAGCCAUACCGCGUGGGUGAAGAAGGCCUUCGGGUUGUAAAGCCCUUUUGUUGGGAAAGAAAAGCAGCAGGUUAAUACCCCGCUGUUCUGACGGUACCCAAAGAAUAAGCACCGGCUAACUUCGUG
rnacentral:rRNA from 1 species